AACGAACGCUGGCGGCAUGCCUAACACAUGCAAGUCGAACGAGACCUUCGGGUCUAGUGGCGCACGGGUGCGUAACGCGUGGGAACCUGCCCUUAGGUUCGGAAUAACUCCCCGAAAGGGGUGCUAAUACCGGAUAAUGUCUUCGGACCAAUGAUUUAUCGCCUUUGGAUGGGCCCGCGUUGGAUUAGCUAGUUGGUAGGGUAAAGGCCUACCAAGGCGACGAUCCAUAGCUGGUCUGAGAGGAUGAUCAGCCACACUGGGACUGAGACACGGCCCAGACUCCUACGGGAGGCAGCAGUGGGGAAUAUUGGACAAUGGGCGAAAGCCUGAUCCAGCAAUGCCGCGUGAGUGAUGAAGGCCUUAGGGUUGUAAAGCUCUUUUACCCGGGAUGAUAAUGACAGUACCGGGAGAAUAAGCUCCGGCUAACUCCGUG
rnacentral:rRNA from 1 species